rnacentral:rRNA from 1 species
AUUGAACGCUGGCGGCAUGCUUUACACAUGCAAGUCGAACGGCAGCGGGGGCUUCGGCCUGCCGGCGAGUGGCGAACGGGUGAGUAAUGCAUCGGAACGUGCCCAGUCAUGGGGGAUAACUACGCGAAAGCGUAGCUAAUACCGCAUACGCCCUGAGGGGGAAAGCGGGGGAUCGCAAGACCUCGCGUGAUUGGAGCGGCCGAUGUCGGAUUAGCUAGUUGGUGGGUAAAGGCCUACCAAGGCGACGAUCCGUAGCGGGUCUGAGAGGAUGAUCCGCCACACUGGGACUGAGACACGGCCCAGACUCCUACGGGAGGCAGCAGUGGGGAAUUUUGGACAAUGGGGGCAACCCUGAUCCAGCCAUGCCGCGUGAGUGAAGAAGGCCUC